GGGGAGGGGAGAGUAAGGCACAAUGGGGUGGAAAGGGGAGGGAAGAGUAAGGCAGGGGAGGGGAGAGUAAGGCACUGGAUGGGAUGGGAAGGAAAGAGUAAGGAUAAUAACGUCAUUUUAAAUUUUUAUUUUAUUUUUAAUUAAUAUAAAUAUGAUUUUUUAAAUACCGUUAGAACAUCUGUUAUAUUAGAGAUAUUUAUACAAUAACAGAGUUUUACGAUGGUAUAAAUAUAAAUAUUAAUUUUAAAAAAAUAUUUAUGCAAAAUUUGAUAUUUAGUAAAAUACCAUGCAAAAAAUCCUAAAAGAAGAAGAUCAGUGGCGCAUCAUGCGCGGAUGCUUGAUCGACACCGUCCACUUCAUUCCAUUCUGUCAGCGGUCAGCUCUCCGAUAGGCAACGAAAUGAACAGCCCCAUGCUCUGUUUCCCCUCGUUACACACACCCACACCCACAC
rnacentral:lncRNA from 1 species